UGGGGAAUCAUGGUCAAUGGGCGAAAGCCUGAACCUGCGACGCCGCGUGAGUGAUGAAGGUCGUAAGAUCGUAAAACUCUUUUCAGGGAUCUUAAAGCACAACCGUCAACAACGGCUGUGUGUGACUCUCCCUGGAAGAAGCCCCAGCCAACUACGUGCCAGCAGCUGCUGUAAUACGUAGGGGGCGAGCGUUAUUCGGAAUUACUGGGUGUAAAGGGCAUGUAGGCGGCCCUUCAAGUCGCGUGUCAAAGUCCAGUGCUCAACGCUGGGUGUGCGCGCGAUACUGACGGGCUUGAGGGCUGGAGAGGUGAGCGGAAUUCCCGGUGUAGUGGUAAAAUACGUAGAGAUCGGGAGGAACACCAGCGGCGCAGGCGGCUCACUAGACAGUUUCUGACGCUAAGAUACGAAAGCGUGGGGAGCAAACA
rnacentral:rRNA from 1 species